GCCCAAGUGGCGGAACUGGCAGACGCGCAUGGUUGAGGGCCAUGUGGGGUAACACCCGUGGAGGUUCGAGUCCUCUCUUGGGCA
rnacentral:tRNA from 1 species